rnacentral:rRNA from 1 species
UACGUAGGGCGCAAGCGUUAUCCGGAAUUAUUGGGCGUAAAGAGCUCGUAGGUGGCUUAGUAAGUCGGGUGUGAAACCUCCAGGCUCAACCUGGAGACGCCACCCGAUACUGCUAUAGCUUGAGUCCGGUAGGGGAGCGUGGAAUUCCUGGUGUAGCGGUGAAAUGCGCAGAUAUCAGGAGGAACACCAGCGGCGAAGGCGGCGCUCUGGGCCGGUACUGACACUGAGGAGCGAAAGCGUGGGGAGCAAACAGG